rnacentral:rRNA from 1 species
UGGGGAAUAUUGCACAAUGGGCGCAAGCCUGAUGCAGCCAUGCCGCGUGUAUGAAGAAGGCCUUCGGGUUGUAAAGUACUUUCAGCGGGGAGGAAGGUGUUGUGGUUAAUAACCACAGCAAUUGACGUUACCCGCAGAAGAAGCACCGGCUAACUCCGUGCCAGCAGCCGCGGUAAUACGGAGGGUGCAAGCGUUAAUCGGAAUUACUGGGCGUAAAGCGCACGCAGGCGGUCUGUCAAGUCGGAUGUGAAAUCCCCGGGCUCAACCUGGGAACUGCAUCCGAAACUGGCAGGCUUGAGUCUUGUAGAGGGGGGUAGAAUUCCAGGUGUAGCGGUGAAAGGCGUAGAGAUAUGGAGGAAUACCGGUGGCGAAGGCGGCCCCCUGGACAAAGACUGACGCUCAGGUGCGAAAGCGUGGGGAGCAAACA